CAGCUCAGGGCAAAACUGGAGGAUAUGCAUACUUGAAGGUUUCCACAUAUAGAAACAUCAAGCCACUUUGUGGGUAAGCAUCAAGCCGAGAAUGCGAAAAAGUCCCGGAUGUGUUCUCGCGCCGCCCGUUUUAUCGAGCAUGCAUCGGUGGUGACUUGUGUGGACUUGGUACAGCUAAAUAUCCCAGAAUGCAUUUCGUCCAAAACUCAAACGCGCAAUGGCGGACGAGCAGGGCUAAGGGAAGCCCAAGAAGCAAAUAUCUGUGACAACCAUGAUGGGACCUACCUGGUGUUUUAACACCAGGUGACCAAAUACUUAUUUUCCACCAUAAUUUGCAAAUCAAUUCUUUAAAACUCAGACAAGUUAGAGGUAUACCUAUGAUGAAAAUUACAGGCCUCUCUCAUCUUUUUAAGUGGGAGAACUUGCACAAUUGGCUGACUAAAUACUUUUUUGCCCCACUGUAUUUGAUCCUGUCUCCCUCAAUACUAUUUAAUAUCUAAAUGCUUGAUUCAUCAUAUUAUAACAAAUGUGCUGUUGUAGCUACUGACAGUGAGUUUGAUUACAUUUUUUCCAUCUACCAAAGAGAAAUAAUAUCUCUUAGUGGCAGGUGGAUCACACGUUGAUUUUAACACUUUGCGUAUGACUGGGUAGGAUGAGCAUUUUAUAAGCGCUUGUGUGGUUUUUGUUUAUGUAAGGAAAUACAUCGGUUUCCCUUGUAUUUUAAAUUUGAGUGAAGAUCCUAAAUUGGCCCCCACUCUUGACUUUGAGAAAGGCUAAUCUGUGCUACCCCCACAUGAGCUCAGUGAGAUAUAAUACAGGCUUUCACUCAGGAGCAGGAAGGCUAAAGGCUGUUUAAUGUCUGAUCUAAGUGUGUCAGACAUUUGCGUUCUCACGUGCAUGGACAAUAUCUUGAAAACUUCCGAGCUGCAGUGCAUGUGUAAAAGUGGUUAGAAAGCAGUGCAUUAGCACGUGUUUUGUCUCUUUGCGUAGCUGCUCAGUCCAUCCAGAC